rnacentral:tRNA from 1 species
GAGUCUGUAGCUCAGCUUGGACAGAGCGAUCGGCUUCUAAACCUCAGGGCUCUCCGAAUAGGAGGAAAGAGGAUAGAGAAGAUGCUUAGUCUUCAACUGAAGAUACCGAUCGGUCGAGGGUUCAAAUCCCUCCGGACUCG